GUAACAGCAGGAGGAUUUGCCAGGAUGGAGUGAAGGAAGGAGUGACCUAACCACCGGAUUGUAACUUUAAAUAUCUUCUCUACUGAUAUGGCUAUUAAAUGUUACUAGUGUGGCAGAAUUUGCACAGCUGCUGAAAGCAUUCUUCUCAUGGAUAUAAGAAAAGACUUGAAGAGACCACUAUUCCUGAAUCACUUUAUUUGCCAGGGAAAACUGACUUCAAAGGCACUAAGGCUGUGGAUGGAAGGGUCCUCACUGGAUCUGAAUGGUGGCCCCAGAGGCAGGGCCUCAACUGGAAAUGG